CUGGGACUGAGACCCGGCCCAGACUCCUACGGGAGGCAGCAGUAGGGAAUCUUCCACAAUGGACGAAAGUUUGAUGGAGCAACGCCGCGUGAGUGAAGAAGGUUUUCGGAUCGUAAAACUCUGUUGUUGGAGAAGAACGUAUUUGAUAGUAACUGAUCAGGUAGUGACGGUAUCCAACCAGAAAGCCACGGCUAACUACGUGCCAGCAGCCGCGGUAAUACGUAGGUGGCAAGCGUUGUCCGGAUUUAUUGGGCGUAAAGCGAGCGCAGGCGGUUUCUUAAGUCUGAUGUGAAAGCCUUCGGCUCAACCGAAGAAGUGCAUCGGAAACUGGGAAACUUGAGUGCAGAAGAGGACAGUGGAACUCCAUGUGUAGCGGUGAAAUGCGUAGAUAUAUGGAAGAACACCAGUGGCGAAGGCGGCUGUCUGGUCUGUAACUGACGCUGAGGCUCGAAAGCAUGGGUAGCAAACAGGAUUAGAUACCCUGGUAGUCCAUGCCGUAAACGAUGAGUGCUAGGUGUUGGAGGGUUUCCGCCCUUCAGUGCCGCAGCUAACGCAUUAAGCACUCCGCCUGGGGAGUACGACCGCAAGGUUGAAACUCAAAGGAAUUGACGGGGGCCCGCACAAGCGGUGGAGCAUGUGGUUUAAUUCGAAGCAACGCGAAGAACCUUACCAGGUCUUGACAUCCUUUGACCACUCUAGAGAUAGAGCUUUCCCUUCGGGGACAAAGUGACAGGUGGUGCAUGGUUGUCGUCAGCUCGUGUCGUGAGAUGUUGGGUUAAGUCCCGCAACGAGCGCAACCCUUAUUACUAGUUGCCAGCAUUUAGUUGGGCACUCUAGUGAGACUGCCGGUGACAAACCGGAGGAAGGUGGGGACGACGUCAAAUCAUCAUGCCCCUUAUGACCUGGGCUACACACGUGCUACAAUGGAUGGUACAACGAGUCGCGAGACCGCGAGGUUUAGCUAAUCUCUUAAAACCAUUCUCAGUUCGGAUUGUAGGCUGCAACUCGCCUACAUGAAGCCGGAAUCGCUAGUAAUCGCGGAUCAGCAUGCCGCGGUGAAUACGUUCCCGGGCCUUGUACACACCGCCCGUCACACCAUGAGAGUUUGUAACACCCAAAGCCGGUGAGGUAACCUUCGGGAGCCAGCCGUCUAAG
rnacentral:rRNA from 1 species